rnacentral:rRNA from 1 species
UCAAAAACCGGUCCCAGUUCGGAUUGUAGGCUGCAACUCGCCUACAUGAAGUCGGAGUUGCUAGUAAUCGCGGAUCAGAAUGCCGCGGUGAAUGCGUUCCCGGGUCUUGUACACACCGCCCGUCACACCAUGGAAGUUGGGGGCGCCCGAAGUUGCCUAAGAAAUAAGGUACCUAAGGCGAAACCAAUGACUGGGGUGAAGUCGUAACAAGGUACC